ensembl:lncRNA
CUGUUCCUGGAGGAGCUGAUCUUACGGUGAUGAGUGUUAGACAAACGUGAUAACCACCACACUACAGAAACCAUGACAGAGCUGCGCUUCGGCUCUUGCCUAUGGUCUGCUGAUGAGAAGAGCACAUACUUAAACUUUUGUUCAGCAGAGUUGAAUUGCCUAGCAUGGCAUUGGUGGUAUAGAGGUGAGCAUAGCUGCCUUCCAAGUAGUUGACCUGCGUUUGAUUCCUGGCCAAUGCACGGAUUGUAACUAGGAGCUUCUGGAGCUACUUUAUGAUAGUUGGCACAAAAGGAAGGAAUCACUUACCUGAAAGUAAAUGUGUCAACAGAAUGUGCCAUAGGCUUAUCUGCAGGCCUCCCACAACUCUUUCUGCUUCCCACUUGAAUUCUUAGUGCUUCUUUGCUGUUUGUAAACACAGUAUUAUCCAACAGGGCACGUUUGACCCGUGAACAGGGGCGAAAAUGUUAGAACAUGCGGUCUCUCCGUGUCUGUCUUUUGUUAGCGACAAGCUAGCAUGCAAACUGUGAUGAGAGGUGUACAUUUCCACAAUCAGCCAUCUAUAUAGUCAAUGUUUUAUAUUUAAUAAGCAAAUAUGUCUAUAUGCUGAUUGGUCUGAAGCAGCGUUGUCCAAUCUUCAGCUUUUGGUUCCAAUCUAGCAGGAGCCACACCUGAUUCCAAUUGUUGGAUCCGCUGAUCUUGGCUUUCAAUAGACUAAAGUGUGGCUUCUGCUUGGUUAGAAUGACA